AGGUUUCUAAUGUUGCAUGACAGACUUUAUGAGAAGACAUGUCCAUUGAUGAAAAAGGACUGACUACACAGUCAAGGUAACCAGUUGGCUACUACUCUUGAACAUCCCCUUUUACUUCAUGAAAGUGUAAACAGGCCAUCUUGAUUUGAGGGUAACUCCUUCGCUGCUUAUCGUGGACUUCAUCCAUCGGUGAAAACCAAUGACAACCUGCUGGUCUCUUUGUCUCAAUGCGCUGGUCAAACGGGGACUUGCAAGAUCAGCCGGAAGACUACUAUAUGAUUAGUCGCUGUCGUAAUAACAGUUCCUCAACUCUUCGCUCUUUUCCCGGUUUCUCCUACCCUGUCUGCAGUCAAUUAAGGCAGUGUCUCCCCUUGUCUUGAUUGACUCCAUGUGUGAAUUUUAAAAGCAGUUAAUCACCCAAAUGAGACAAAAGGGUUAGGUUUGUUUUAUUUGGGUAUAAAUUGUUUUAAAACUUGUACCUAUAAAUCAAUUGUCUUGUACCGGACGCUUUGUUUAUUGAAUUUUUUAUCAUUUUGGGAAUAAAUUUAUUUAAUUCAAUUAAAA